rnacentral:rRNA from 1 species
AUUGAACGCUGGCGGCAGGCCUAACACAUGCAAGUCGAGCGGAUGAAGGGAGCUUGCUCCUGGAUUCAGCGGCGGACGGGUGAGUAAUGCCUAGGAAUCUGCCUGGUAGUGGGGGAUAACGUCCGGAAACGGGCGCUAAUACCGCACACGUCCUGAGGGAGAAAGUGGGGGAUCUUCGGACCUCACGCUAUCAGAUGAGCCUAGGUCGGAUUAGCUAGUUGGUGGGGUAAAGGCCUACCAAGGCGACGAUCCGUAACUGGUCUGAGCGGAUGAUCAGUCACACUGGAACUGAGACACGGUCCAGACUCCUACGGGAGGCAGCAGUGGGGAAUAUUGGACAAUGGGCGAAAGCCUGAUCCAGCCAUGCCGCGUGUGUGAAGAAGGUCUUCGGAUUGUAAAGCACUUUAAGUUGGGAGGAAGGGCAGUAAGUUAAUACCUUGCUGUUUUGACGUUACCAACAGAAUAAGCACCGGCUAACUUCGUG